GGUCGUGAGUAUCCUACGCGGCCCAUCAUUUCCCAUCAUUCAUUGCGGGUCGAAGCGGAUUGGACGGUCCAGCGCCGUAGAAAGAAAGUGUUACGACACUCCCAUUGACUUCUAUAGAAAGAAUGGAAUGCGGAAGUCACGUGGUUCAUGGAGCUGCUAAUAGGUCCAAACACCAGCAGCUCCAGCAUUGAACGUAGUUCAUUCUCGGUGCUUCGUAAGGAUUUUUUACGGUAAACCACACGAGAAUGGAUGGCUUAAAUAAACUGCUGAACUAUGUUGCAAACAAAGCACCACAAAGCUGCUCCACACGAAGGCCAGGACUGGGAAAUGUCUCCAUAAUGUCCAGGAACUCUGCCAGAAGACUGCCGCCAUCCUCCUGAUAGCUUCCUGAUUUUACAGUUGUAAGAAACUGUCCAGCUGAGAUUGAUCUCAGUGCCUGGUGAAACUGCACUGGUGUUGGGACUGGAUUCCUUUGCCUUAUGCAGCUGAACACGUUUUCAAGGCAGUCCUGAGUAAACCUGCUUGUCAACACAAAGGAUCUUUUGGGAAGCCAUACAUAUGGAUUCCUUUCUCUGACCGAUUGGUGCAUCCAAAUGCAACACACCCAACCAGGGGAGAUCAGCAGAUGUGGUGUCUGACUUCAAAAGGAGCUGCUGCCAAGGAGGAUGAACCCUCAUUUGGACUUGGACACAUUUCUACCUUGUCCAGAUUUGAUCAGAUACAGUUUAUUGGUGCAGAUGUAAUUAAUAAACUGUAUAAAUGUAUCCUUCCCGGCCCAUCAUUUCCCAUCAUUCAUUGCGGGUCAAAGCGGAUUGGUCAAG